AAGUCGUAACAAGGUUUCAGUAGAAAAAAGUAAAAAGUGAUUAUAUCUCGUCUUAAGGUGGAUUAAUCACUCUAGCUUGUUCUACAGAAUUGGUCCUUUUCGCAGAUUUGCACCAAUGGAAGCCUUUGCGGGUCAUAUUAGACCACCUCCGCCGACUAUAAACAAUUAGGAGUGUCGCAAGUCUUUGGGUUUCAAAGGCAAGAUUAUCAAAUUGCGGGAAAAACCCUUAUAACCAACUAGUACACCUUUAAGAUCAGAGGAAACUCCUUAAAGUCGUCAUAACCUAGCAGGAUUGGGCGAUUCGCAACCAAAUGCGAUUUUCACUAAUUGUAUGCUGUUCACAGGCCAAAUGAUAAUCGGUGGCUACUAUAUAAGUGCUGCUUAAGAUAUGGUCGGUCCUGCAGAGAAAUCCGCAGGCAAAAGCAUCUCUGUUAUUCCGAACGCUGAACGUUCCGUAGGUGAACCUGCGGAAGGAUCAUUAAUGAAAUGCAAGGAUGCUCUUUUUAGAGGUCCGACUCAUUCCAUUUCUACACUGUGCACACACACAUUUUUUAUACCCUUUACAACUCGUAAUAUGAUUUAGGAAUGUAUCAAUACUCUUGAUUGAGUUUAAAUUAAUAAUAAAA
rnacentral:misc_RNA from 1 species